rnacentral:rRNA from 1 species
UAGGCUUGACAUGGUCGGAUUAGUUCCGUGAAAGCGGAAUGACCGCCUUCGGGUGGAACGAUCACAGGUGCUGCAUGGCUGUCGUCAGCUCGUGUCGUGAGAUGUCGGGUUUAGUCCUUCAACGAGCGAAACCCCUGUCUCCAGUUGCCAGCAUUCAGUUGGGGACUCUGGAGAGACCGCCGGCGUUAAGCCGGAGGAAGGCGGGGACGACGUCAAGUCAUCACGGCCUUUAUGCUUAGG